AAGCCGAGGUUUCUAUCAAGAAACCCUAGCACCGCCAUUGGUUUCUUUCUCUCUCUCGCAUCAUCAAUGGCCAAAAAUGGAUGUUUACAGUGUACUUCGCUUCAUGCAGCUUGUGGUUCAACCGUUUGGAGCAAGCAAUUAAUACUUCCCUCUCUCUUCCUACCACACAGCAACCAAAUUAGGUCUCGGGUGGAGAAUCAAGGGCUUGGAAUUCCAAUCUCAAUUAAGGCUGCACUUGAAAAAGUGUCAUUAUUGAACCUUGGGAAGUACGCUUGAGCGGGAUUUGAGGUAACGAAGAAGAGCAUGUACAGACAAAUCUCGCGAUUUAGGAGUACUUACUGCUUUCCAGAUUGUUAGUGAGUCCACACAUGUUGGUUCGUGGGACACCCCUUUAUUUAAAGUUAGUGAUUUAAUUUCCGGGCUGCGUCCCGAAGUUAGGAUAUUGUCUAUGUCUCUUAGAAGCUCCAUAGAUAGUUGUCAAAUUGUGGGUAGACUUAUGGAGGUGUUUUCCAUUUUUACGACUAUUUAUUUUUGUUAGACUUCCGCUGGUUUUACUCUAUAAUU